rnacentral:rRNA from 1 species
GUGUCAGCAGCCGCGGUAAUACGUAGGUGGCAAGCGUUGUCCGGAUUUACUGGGCGUAAAGAGCGCGCAGGCGGUCGUGCAAGUCGCGUGUGAAAGCCCCCGGCUCAACUGGGGAGGGUCACGCGAUACUGUUCGACUCGAAGGCAGGAGAGGGAAGUGGAAUUCCCGGUGUAGUGGUGAAAUGCGUAGAUAUCGGGAGGAACACCAGUGGCGAAGGCGACUUCCUGGCCUGUUCUUGACGCUGAGGCGCGAAAGCUAGGGUAGCAAACGGGAGGAUAUACCAUCGGAUUAC